UGUAGUCCAUGGGGUUGCAAAGAGUCAGACACAACUGAGUGACUGAACUGUACUGACCAGCAAUUCCAUGCCUGGAUAUAUAAGUGAAAAAAAAAAAAUCACUAAUUCAAAAAGAUACAUGCGCCUCAAUGUUCACAGCAGCAUUAUUUACAAUGCCAGGAUAUGGCAGCAACCUAAAUGUCCAUCAAUAGAUGAAUGGAUUAUGGAAUACUCAGCCAUGAAAAAAAAAUGAAAUUUUGCCACCUGCAGCAAUAUGGAUCGACUGGAAGGUAAGUGAAAUAAGUCAGAAAAAGACAAAUACUGGAUGAUAUUCCUUAUAUGCAGAAUCUAAGAGUAAAAGGAACUAGUGAAUAUAAUAAAAAAGAAACAAAGUCACAAAUAUAGAGAACAAACUAGUGGUUACAGGUGGGGAGAGCAAAGGGACAAUAUAGGGGUAGGUGAUUAAGAGAUACAAACUAUUACAUACAAAAUAAGCUACAUGGAUACACUGUACAACACAAGGAAUACAGCCAUGUUUUAUAAGAACUAUAAAUGGAGUAUAAUCUUUAAGAGAAACAAAAUAAAAACCAAUUAUCAGCUUCAGGUUAUAGAUUAAAUAAAAAUGACAACCUCACAAAAAAUUUAAAAAAGAGCAAACUCUUUCUGGUAUGACCAGCCCCUCUCCUAGAACUAUGUGUGGGCCCAUCCUGGGUCACUUUAUUAGCAUAAACUCAGAUAUGGUUAAAGAGGACUUAUGAACAAAGGAUACUCCUAUUACUCAGGAAAUUCCAAGGGUUUUUGAAGGUCUGUGUCUGGAACCAGGGACAGAGACCAGAUAUAUUCUUUAUUAUCUCACAUACACAAUAAAUGGAAGCUAUUAUUUUAGAAACCAAGUAGUAGGCUAUAAAAAUAAUAUAAGCAUAAAGAUAAGGGAGGAAAAAAAUCAGAAGCAUUACAAUAGACGAAACACUAGGGGGAAAAAAGGAGGGGGUGUCAAAUUGAUUCAAGCCUGGAUGACUAAACAGACAGAAACAGGCAUAUCCAGGCAGACAAAGAGGAGAUUGAGAAUGAAUUUAGUGUUAGCCAAGUUGAGUCUGGUGGCAAUGACCAGGGAUUUCAAAUGGACCUAGACAGAAGGAGAAUGUGAGCCCAGUGAUCGGGGAGAUAACAGCCAGAAUCAGCUGUCAGAGUUUUCCACGGAGAUAAAAUCUGCCCCCACCCACAACAUAAAACACAAAAGCCAUCACUACUCAAAGGAGGAUAUCAGCUAAUGGUGUUACAUAACCAUCUAAGUCAAAAAAAAAAAAAGGGCAAGUUACCACAUACAGCAGAAAAUGUAAGGGCUGAAUUCUAGGACAUAUUUGGUUUAAUAUUUUGAACUCUAAACAAAAGGGUGUACCUCAUUUUUAACAUAAAGAUUCAAACAGAAUCACAGGAUUAAAUGCCAAACAGAAAUGCUGGGUUUUGUUCUUUGAUAGAAAAGGACCAUUUUAUUUUCUAUCAACAGGAAACCAUUACAUCUCUCUAACAGGAAUGUUUAUUUUUCGAAGAAAAGUUUAUGGAACAACCACAGAACAUUUCAUCAACACAACAUAAACAGGACAACUAUGAUCAAUUUAGGAAAGCUUCCUGUAAAGAUACAUGAAGCAGGAUGAACAUUUCAAGCAUGGAAACCAUUACACAGACAUUCAGAGCUUUUACUGCCAGCUUUUAGAAAGCACAUUCAAUAACUAGAAACUGGGUUGUUAAUUGCCCACCGUUUUGAAGCAUCACAAUUUACUCUUCCCUACAACUCACACAUCAUCUUAGCCUUUUGUUGCUAACAGAAGAAGUCCCAACCCUUUCAGCCAGUGAAGGUGACAAGCGGGAGACGAAAGGAAAAGUGGAAUUUGGGCCAGUACACUGGUAGUCAUAUGGUUCCUAGUAUAAAAGGGCUAAGGGGCCAUGGAACUGAGACAUUCAAGUACUGACUAGACUGAAGAACAGGCUUAUUAACUCAGAAAGCCUGCAGGACUGUGCUUAUGUUAGGAAUGCCAGAGAGCAGUGAGAGCCCAAUACGUGCUCCCAUGCCCUCAGGCUCCAGAGAGAGAAGACCUGGAGUGGCUGAGUGCAGUCUCUUCAGUUGUGCCUGACUCUUUGCAAUGCCAGGGACUGCAGCCCACCAGGCUCCUCUGUCCACGAGAUUCUCCAGGCAAGAAUACUGGA
rnacentral:lncRNA from 1 species